GAUGAACGCUGGCGGCGUGCUUAACACAUGCAAGUCGAACGGAAAGGCCCAAGCUUGCUUGGGUACUCGAGUGGCGAACGGGUGAGUAACACGUGGGUGAUCUGCCCUGCACUUCGGGAUAAGCCUGGGAAACUGGGUCUAAUACCGGAUAGGACCACUUCUUGGAUGUUGUGGUGGAAAGUUUUUUCGGUGUGGGAUGAGCUCGCGGCCUAUCAGCUUGUUGGUGGGGUAAUGGCCUACCAAGGCGUCGACGGGUAGCCGGCCUGGGAGGGUGUACGGCCACAUUGGGACUGAGGUACGGCCCAGACUCCUACGGGAGGCAGCAGUGGGGAAUAUUGCACAAUGGGCGCAAGCCUGGUGCAGCGACGCCGCGUGGGGGAUGACGGCCUUCGGGUUGUAAACUCCUUUCGCUAGGGACGAAGCGUUUUGUGACGGUACCUGGAGAAGAAGCACCGGCUAACUACGUG
rnacentral:rRNA from 1 species